GGCCUGGCUGGACGGUCCGCCCUUCGGGUGAGUACUGUCUGUGGUCGGGUCCUACCUUCUGGCGAAGCGUCAUGGCCUUAACCGGCCGUGGCGGGGAGCCAGGACUUUUACUGUGAAAAAAUUAGAGUGUUCAAAGCAGGCCAAUUGCUUGAAUACAUUAGCAUGGAAUAAUGGAAUAGGACCUCGGUUCUAUUUUGUUGGUUUCUAGGACCGUUGUA
rnacentral:rRNA from 1 species